UGCCCCCCAUCCCGCUGUCCCCACAGGUGACCCUGCACACAGUGCUGGGUCUGACGACGCGGAGCAGCAGUGCCCUCAGCUGCAGCCCCACAUCGGGUGACAUUGCCUAUGCUGCAGGCUGCGUCGUUGUCAUCGUUGACCCCGUGAGGAACACACAGCGGCACAUCCUGAACGCCUCCAGGAAAACCAUCAGCGCUGUGGUGUUCUCUCCUGAUGGGAAGCUGCUCGCCACCGGGGAGGUGAG